GGAAAGGCGCGCGAUACAGGGUGACAGCCCCGUACACAAAAAUGCACAUGCUGUGAGCUCGAUGAGUAGGGCGGGACACGUGGUAUCCUGUCUGAAUAUGGGGGGACCAUCCUCCAAGGCUAAAUACUCCUGACUGACCGAUAGUGAACCAGUACCGUGAGGGAAAGGCGAAAAGAACCCCGGCGAGGGGAGUGAAAAAGAACCUGAAACCGUGUACGUACAAGCAGUGGGAGCACGCUUAGGCGUGUGACUGCGUACCUUUUGUAUAAUGGGUCAGCGACUUAUAUUCUGUAGCAAGGUUAACCGAAUAGGGGAGCCGAAGGGAAACCGAGUCUUAACUGGGCGUUAAGUUGCAGGGUAUAGACCCGAAACCCGGUGAUCUAGCCAUGGGCAGGUUGAAGGUUGGGUAACACUAACUGGAGGACCGAACCGACUAAUGUUGAAAAAUUAGCGGAUGACUUGUGGCUGGGGGUGAAAGGCCAAUCAAACCGGGAGAUAGCUGGUUCUCCCCGAAAGCUAUUUAGGUAGCGCCUCGUGAAUUCAUCUCCGGGGGUAGAGCACUGUUUCGGCAAGGGGGUCAUCCCGACUUACCAACCCGAUGCAAACUGCGAAUACCGGAGAAUGUUAUCACGGGAGACACACGGCGGGUGC
rnacentral:rRNA from 1 species